GAACGUACGCUGGCGGCACGCCUAACACAUGCAAGUCGAACGAAGUAGCAAUACUUAGUGGCAGACGGGUGAGUAACAUGUAGGUAUCUGCCCUUUGGCCUGGAAUAACACGAGGAAACUUGUGCUAAUACCGGAUAAGUCUUUACGGAGAAAGCUUUAUGCACCAUUGGAUGAGCCUGCACUUGAUUAGUUUGUUGGUGGGGUAAUGGCCUACCAAGACUGUGAUCAAUAGCUGAUUUGAGAGGAUGAUCAGCCACAUUGGGACUGAGACACGGCCCAAACUCCUACGGGAGGCAGCAGUGGGGAAUCUUGCACAAUGGAGGAAACUCUGAUGCAGCGAUGCCGCGUGAGUGAAGAAGGCCCUUGGGUUGUAAAGCUCUUUCGUCGAGGAAGAAAAUGACUGUACCCGAAUAAGAAGGUCCGGCUAACUUCGUGCCAGCAGCCGCGGUAAUACGAAGGGACCUAGCGUAGUUCGGAAUUACUGGGCUUAAAGAGUUCGUAGGUGGUUGAAAAAGUUAGUGGUGAAAUCCCAGAGCUUAACUCUGGAACUGCCAUUAAAACUUUUUAGCUAGAGUAUGAUAGAGGAAAGCAGAAUUUCUAGUGUAGAGGUGAAAUUCGUAGAUAUUAGAAAGAAUACCAAUUGCGAAGGCAGCUUUCUGGAUCAUUACUGACACUGAGGAACGAAAGCAUGGGUAGCGAAGAGGAUUAGAUACCCUCGUAGUCCAUGCCGUAAACGAUGUGUGUUAGACGUUGGAAAUUUAUUUUCAGUGUCGCAGGGAAACCGAUAAACACACCGCCUGGGGAGUACGACCGCAAGGUUAAAACUCAAAUGAAUUGACGGGGACCCGCACAAGUAGUGGAGCAUGUGGUUUAAUUCGAAGAUACGCGCAGAACCUUACCAACACUUGACAUGUUCGUCGCGACUCUAAGAGAUUAGAGUUUUCGGUUCGGCCGGACGAAACACAGGUGCUGCAUGGCUGUCGUCAGCUCGUGUCGUGAGAUGUUGGGUUAAGUCCCGCAACGAGCGCAACCCUCACUUUUAGUUGCCAUCAUUAAGUUGGGCACUCUGAAAGAACUGCCAGUGAUAAGCUGGAGGAAGGUGGGGAUGACGUCAAGUCCUCAUGGCCCUUACGUGUUGGGCUACACACGUGCUACAAUGGUAUCUACAACAGGAAGCAAGACUGCGAAGUUAAGCAAAUCCCUAAAAGAUACCUCAGUUCGGAUUGCACUCUGCAACUCGAGUGCAUGAAGCUGGAAUUACUAGUAAUCGUGGAUCAGCGUGCCACGGUGAAUGCGUUCCCGGGUCUUGUACACACCGCC
rnacentral:rRNA from 1 species